rnacentral:rRNA from 1 species
UGGGGAAUAUUGGACAAUGGGCGCAAGCCUGAUCCAGCAAUGCCGCGUGUGUGAAGAAGGCCUUCGGGUUGUAAAGCACUUUUAUCAGGAGCGAAACGCUGUCGGCUAAUACCCGGCGGAACUGACGGUACCUGAGGAAUAAGCACCGGCUAACUUCGUGCCAGCAGCCGCGGUAAUACGAAGGGUGCAAGCGUUAAUCGGAAUUACUGGGCGUAAAGCGUGCGUAGGCGGUUUCUUAAGUCUGCUGUGAAAUCCCCGGGCUCAACCUGGGAAUGGCAGUGGAUACUGGGAGGCUAGAGUGUGUCAGAGGGUGGUGGAAUUCCCGGUGUAGCGGUGAAAUGCGUAGAGAUCGGGGGGAACAUCAGUGGCGAAGGCGGCCACCCGGGACAACACUGACGCUGAGGCACGAAAGCGUGGGGAGCAAACAG